GUCCAGCCCACCUUUAAAGCUCCUCAUGGAAAUCCAUGGGUCCAGCCCACCUUUAAACAGUCACCAGAUGAGAGACUACACACCACCAGGGAUGGUCCCCGUGGCCAUGCCGUUUCAAAUUCCACCACAUGAUGUCUGGCAGGUAAACUAUACUGCAGUUCGGAGCCUUCCCGUCAAACUCUAU